GGAAUGAUUGGGCGUAAAGCGUCYGUAGGUGGCUUUUCAAGUCCGCCGUCAAAUCCCAGGGCUCAACCCUGGACAGGCGGUGGAAACUACUAAGCUGGAGUACGGUAGGGGCAGAGGGAAUUUCCGGUGGAGCGGUGAAAUGCGUAGAGAUCGGAAAGAACACCAAHGGCGAAAGCACUCUGCUGGGCCGACACUGACACUGAGAGAUGAAAGCUAGGGGAGCGAAUGGGAUUAGAUACCCCAGUAGUCCUAGCCRUAAACGAUGGAUACUAGGCGUUGUGUGUAUCGACCCGUGCAGUGCUGUAGCUAAUGCAUUAAGUAUCCCGCC
rnacentral:ncRNA from 1 species